UCACUCUAAACCAUUCCUUCAUCCAUUCCAUCUUCUUUGUCUCUCCAUUUCCUUUCCAUUUUCCUUUCCAACAUCCUCUAGGACAAGCCACGAAGUUCAAGCAAGGCCAAGGAAGAGAAGAACCAAGCCGUGAGCAUCAUCAUCCAUCCUCCACCUUUGAAGCUUGCUUUCGAGUCUCAAAGGAUUCAACGUUAUUCACCCAUCUUCAUCUUCCAUCCACGGUGUACCCUCAAUCCCCGGAAUAGAACGAUCCCUACUUGCUUAUACUACUAAUGAUAUUUUUAGGGUUAAAUUAUGCGCUUGCUCAAAGCGUAUCAAUUUUUGGCGCCGUUGCCGGGGAAUUGAAAAAUCACUUGUUUUUGUUUAUAAUUAUUGUAUAUAAACUGUUUGAAACUUAGUUAAUUAAUUAACUAGGUUGUUUUUUUUUUUUAUUGUUGAAUACGAUUUUAAUUGUAAGUUGUAAAUUGAAUGGAAUAGGUGAAGUCGUGUUUAUUAAUAUUGGCCUAAACCCCUUAUUGGUACCUAGUUCAGGUCCCUUAAGGUUGAGGGCGGCCUUUAUUAACAUUCAUUGAACUGUCUAACACACUUAGGACCUUUUACAUCCUAGUAAGAAUAUCCUAUGUGAGAUGGUGUCUAGGAAGGGGACAACGUUCAUGACGGGUUUUUGAAUCCAGAAGUGCUUAUAAAUGGGCCUAGCUCAUGCCAAAAUGGAUUUUUCCUCUUGUGUUCGCCCUCCUCUACCUGGCCAUUUCAGUAAGGUUGCCCAACGGAUGUAGGAGGGACUUUGUGUCUAGACGACUAUACUUGGGCCGCACGUCCACUUGAUUUACCGCUUGGAAUUAGAUUUGAUAUCAAUAAUGUUUAUAACAAAAGAAAUACUUGUGCAUACUCUUUACGUGUAAAUUAUUUUGUUGUUUCACACUUUAUACUUGUAAAAAUACUUUUUUUACUUUUUAUACUCACUUGUAUACUUAACUUGUGUCUUAUGUACAAAAUACUUGUUAAUUAUACUUGUAGUUUGUAAUUCAUAGUUACUUGUUUAUUUUUUUUUGUAUUUCUUUGUUAAUAUUAAGUUACUAACUUUAUUUAAUGUAGGUACCGUCUGGCUGCAAGACGUAAAAUACAAG